UUUUUGAGGGGGGAAUUUUUUGAGUUGUUAUCAUGUAUAACUAGAAACGAGGAAAUGACAAGUUGGUCAAACUAGGAAAUUAUUAUAGACUUGUUGCGUUUCUGUCAUCAAUAACAGUAGUAACGCUGUUAAUUAAUAGCUAUUUAGUUGCUUACUCUUUCAUUCUCGUUAUUUGUAAGGGCAAAGAUUUAGUUUCUUGACAUGGUAUCCCAUUUUGAAAUGUUUGCAAAGCAAAAGCAUGUGUUCUGAAGUAAAUAUGCGCAAUGGUAUACAUAUAACAGUGAAAUCAUAUAAUAAUUCAUUUGCUCUUUGCUCCUUUUGCUUGGCUACUUCUCGGACUGUUGGUGCCUUUUGGUAACUCCUACUUGGGGGCCUUGCCGCUUCCUGUGCUUUUCGAGGUUGACCGGAACUUGCGUUUUUAAUAUUAAUUAACAUAACUAAGAGUCAAUACAAUUCGAUUAUUAAUUGUGUUAGCCUGUCUUAGUUUAGUUUCAUGUAAUAAAAACGUUCUACCCGCCUGUUGAGUAAAUAUAAAACCUUCUGAAUGUUCAAACCUAUAACUUAAGGACAUAUA